UGGAGUCAGGGUCAAGUCUGGGCUGGAACUGGACCAUGAGAAGAGUGCACAAGGUCUCCCUCGGAAGCCUGGAUUCCUGGACUUACUGAGUCCUGCGUGCAUCCCACCAAGUCCAGUAAGAAGCACCAGAAGAAGGAACAUGGCUCGCUGUCUUGGAGCCCUGACGAUGAACAGCAGUUAAGACGUUGAGACCUGCAGAGGCGCCGCUCGCGCUGGGCUGAGCGCACGUGAGGAGGCUGCGGAGAGGAAAAGCACACUGUGGAGAAGGACCAAGACGAAGGUGAUUGUAAGCAGAUAACGUGCUGCAGGCGGGCAGCUGAGCACUCAAGAAGAGCCUCUCAGCCAGUCGGUUUAUUGUUAAAGAAGAACGGCUUCCCAAUUGUUAAUUCUCAGCUGUGACCAGGGAAGGACAGAUCGAAUUUUCAUUUCUCAGUGAGACUCUUGAUGUUAUCCAUCGCCUUCUGAAGGAAUCAUUAGUUACUGUGGAGGAGAACAAAGACACAUGCUCAAGGUCCUUCAAGAUGUAUCCAGAAGGCAGGAUUGUCAUCCUAACCAAUGACAGUUCCAGAUAUGUCAUUGCUCCUGACGACCUCCCAAAAGGACAAGAUAUGGAGAUGGAAGACAGUGAUAUUGCUUAUAUUGACCCUGUCUAGGCCAACGCUAAUGUGUUUGUGUCUUAGUUUUUAACAAAAAAGUUUAAAAAGAAAAAAAUUUAUACAAAAAAAGCCAAUAAAGGU